GGCUACCUGGCGCAAUGGUAGCGCGUUUGGCUUCGAUCGCCAGCGGCUAUCUCCGUGGUCACGUGACCGGCCGACCAAAAGGCUGCAGGUUCGAGUCCUGCGGUGGUCA